rnacentral:rRNA from 1 species
GACUAAGGUUUCCUGGGGAAGGCUCGUUCGCCCAGGGUUAGUCGGGACCUAAGCCGAGGCCGAUAGGCGUAGGCGAUGGAUAACAGGUUGAUAUUCCUGUACCCGUUGUUUUUGUUUGAGCAAUGGAGGGACGCAGGAGGCUAAGGAAUGCAGACGAUCGGAAAUGUCUGUCCAAGCAGUAAGUCUGAAGAGGAGUCAAAUGCUUCUUUUCUUAAGGACAAGCUGUGAUGGGG